rnacentral:rRNA from 1 species
UUUGAUCAUGGCUCAGGAUGAACGCUGGCGGCGUGCCUAACACAUGCAAGUCGAGCGAGAAGUUUAUGGAGUGCGUUUUCGGACAAGUGAAGUAAACGGAAAGCGGCGGACGGGUGAGUAACGCGUAGGCAACCUGCCCCAUACAGAGGGAUAGCCUCGAGAAAUCGGGAUUAAAACCUCAUAAUGCCAUCGAGUCACAUGGCUCUUUGGCCAAAGAUUUAUCGGUAUGGGAUGGGCCUGCGUCUGAUUAGCUAGUUGGUGAGGUAACGGCUCACCAAGGCUGCGAUCAGUAGCAGAACUGAGAGGUUCAUCUGCCACAUUGGAACUGAGACACGGUCCAAACUCCUACGGGAGGCAGCAGUGAGGAAUAUUGCACAAUGGGCGAAAGCCUGAUGCAGCAACGCCGCGUGAGCGAUGAAGGCCUUUGGGUCGUAAAGCUCUGUCCUUGGGGAAGAAACAAAUGACGGUACCCUUGGAGGAAGCCCCGGCUAACUACGUGCCAGCCGCCGCGGUAAUUCA